rnacentral:lncRNA from 1 species
UUGGCUAGAUUGGUUGGUAACGCGGGGGUCUCAGAGUCGUUACAUGCAUGAACCAACAAAAGUUGGAAAAGCAAAAACUGAAAACGAUAACUUAUCCCUGCCUGCCCUAACCCUAGCCAAACUGAGCUAAUAAUCUACUAAAAACGAUUCUGGCCUAUCUAGCUACCCAAACCAGUCUAGCGGAAAUCGAUAUCCCCGAAACAACAUUGGAUCGUCUUGCCCCCCUAACUCGCGUAGACAUGUUUUCUUCUUGCAGAUCCCGUGGGCGCGGAUGUGCGGAGAAUAUAUUAACGAUGCAGUUAAGUUACCUGGUGAGGAGACUCGAGACCAUCGAUUGAUAGGUAGGUACCUAUCCGUGGUUGAAUGUGUGGAGUACCUAUCUUGGUGGCAGAUAAGCUAUCAGUACAUUUCUCUGCACAUACUAGUUAACUAACUUUCGUAGACAUUCAUGUCGGAUGUGGUGGUCGGAGAAAAGCGAGUAUCUACCUCAGGGGAGAAUAGACGAGAGAAAAAAAAAAGAUGAAUCUGAUCAAACACCUCGAUGCCCUUAUACUAAGCCGACUCCAUGUUGUAGCCCUCCUGGCAACCUAUCCAAUGUUGAAAGUGUGUACCUAGUUGAUAGUACCUACUGUAAUCUCAAAA